AGACGUAGGGACCGAGCGUUGUCCGGAUUUAUUGGGCGUAAAGAGCUCGUAGGCGGUUGCGUAAGUCGGAUGUGAAAACUCGGGGCUCAACCCCGAGACGCCAUCCGAUACUGCGCUGACUUGAAUCCAGUAGGGGAGUGUGGAAUUCCUGGUGUAGCGGUGAAAUGCGCAGAUAUCAGGAGGAACACCUAUGGCGAAGGCAGCACUCUGGGCUGGUAUUGACGCUGAGGAGCGAAAGCAUGGGUAGCAAACAGGAUUAGAAACCCCGGUAGUCC
rnacentral:rRNA from 1 species